ACCAAAUGAUAGAUACUAUUCUCCAUUUCUUAGAAAUGAUGAAAUAAAACCGCAAAAUGUACAAAGUCAGAUCUAAAACCCAUACCUUUGGGUCCAGACUUUUCUUCUAAAGUUCUGCAGUUACACCCAGAUGCUGCAGACACAUAGGAUCUUAGAGGGGAAGUAACUUAAUCUACUCAAUGAGAAGACAACAAGGAUGAAGACCUUUAUGAUGAUUUACUUCCACUUAAUGAAUAUCUUUAGUUCCUACCUGACAUGAUUUAUCCUCUGGAAGAAAACAAAUCCUGUGAUGACCAGAACGACCACAAAAAGAGAGAGUUUCACAUAAAGAAUGAUCAGUAAGUCCAAUGCUGGAGAUCCUGAGCUUCUGAGACCUAUAAAUACAGACAGGGGUAAAAAAAUCAUUUCAAGGAUUCUUCCAAUUACAAAUUAGAGUCAAACAUUUUAAAGAACAUUUUAAAAUAUUCUAAAGAGUUUACAGACUGUCAUAAUCAUGAAACCUUCUAACUUACAACUCAAAUGUUACUGAUACAUCAUUCUUCCAUGACAGAGUUUAGGAACCACGUUUGUGUUUUAUACCUUGUAGGUUUCCGACAAAUAUUUUCUGAACAAAUAAAUGCACACUAUGCAUUGCUAAUACUUUCCAAUUUUAUAAGAAAGGCAAUAUGUCAAGCUUUCCCCAGUAUAUUCCAACUUCC